rnacentral:sRNA from 1 species
GCUGGGUGCAGUGGAGCACGCCUGUAAUCCCAGAGGCUCUGGAGGCAGAGACAGGAGAAUCACGAGUUCAAAGCCAGCCUCAGCAAAAGUUGAGGUGCUAAGCAACUCAGUGAGACCCUGUCUCUA